rnacentral:rRNA from 1 species
ACGCUCGACACCUACGGGAGACAGCAGUGAGGAAUAUUGGUCAAUGGGCGCUAGCCUGAACCAGCCAAGUAGCGUGAAGGAUGAAGGCUCUAUGGGUCGUAAACUUCUUUUAUAUAAGAAUAAAGUGCAGUAUGUAUACUGUUUUGUAUGUAUUAUAUGAAUAAGGAUCGGCUAACUCCGUGCCAGCAGCAGGACGGUUAAUCUGAGGCGGGCGUGGACGAAGGC